rnacentral:lncRNA from 1 species
CUUGCUUCCUGAUUCUGCUUUCCCUGGGCCCCUUUUUCUAGCUGUUUGCAGACACCCUGCCUAGCCUUCCUGGAUGGAGUUUAAAGUUUGACUUUCUUUCAUUCCAGGAAGUCCAACUUGCCUGGCAGGAUUGGGAGGAAAAGGCACUUUCUUUAUAAGCUCUCGUUGAAAGCUGUAAAGCAAGCCGGUCAAGGGUCUGGCCGGCCCUGGCUCAGGAUUAAGGCCAGCCCUGGAAUGCUGAGGGGGCCUCUCUCAAGAAGCCAGUAUCUAUUUACAGUGUACGUCUCAUAAACCCGAAAGCCAGGGUGAGGGCAGGGGGACUCGCCCUCCUGGCAUGUGAUUGAUUAUCUGGUAUUUAUGCCAUUGAGGACUUGUCAGCGGUCUGGGGUCACAGGGUCAUCUCGUGUGUCUUGCCGCCAUCCCGCCCCCUUUUGUACAGUGUGGGCCGGGGUGCACUGGGCACAAAACAGCUUUUUCUUUUUCUUGGGAAAAGGGGGAGGGGGGGCUGGGGCAGUGUCAAUGAAAAAAUGUUUUCAACGUUUCUGAAUAGUGCUCUUUUAAUUCUAAAGAACAUUUAAUUAAAAGUAGCAGGAAAAUUCAUCUUAGAGGGUUUAACUUACCUUAACAGAUACUAUUGUGUCCAAAGAAGCUGAGUGACC